CAGCAGUAGCCGCGGUAAAACGGAGGGGGCUAGCGUUGUUCGGAAUUACUGGGCGUAAAGCGCACGUAGGCGGCUUUGUAAGUUAGAGGUGAAAGCCUGGGGCUCAACUCCAGAAUUGCCUUUAAGACUGCAUCGCUUGGACGUCAGAGAGGUGAGUGGAAUUCCGAGUGUAGAGGUGAAAUUCGUAGAUAUUCGGAAGAACACCAGUGGCGAAGGCGGCUCACUGGACGACUGUUGACGCUGAGGUGCGAAAGCGUGGGGAGCAAACAGGAUUAGAUACCCCAGUAGUCCCUGUCUCUUAUAC
rnacentral:rRNA from 1 species